rnacentral:rRNA from 1 species
UACGAAGGGGGCUAGCGUUGUUCGGAAUCACUGGGCGUAAAGCGCACGUAGGCGGCUCUUUAAGUCAGGUGUGAAAUCCCGAGGCUCAACCUCGGAACUGCCUUUGAUACUGGGGAUCUCGAGUCCGGGAGAGGUGAGUGGAACUGCGAGUGUAGAGGUGAAAUUCGUAGAUAUUCGCAAGAACACCAGUGGCGAAGACGGCUCACUGGCCCGGAACUGACGCUGAGGUGCGAAAGCGUGGGGAGCAAACAGG